UGUCUAGCAACUCCCAUUCCUACCUCCUCGCGGUACCGGCCGGAAACUAUGAGCAACCUUAGGGAAGAUCGGGUAACCAACCCCGGUGGGAUCUUUGGUCGUAGGCUGACAGGGAAGG
rfam:Aedes albopictus isolate Foshan contig242946, whole genome shotgun sequence.